UACGUAGGGGGCAAGCGUUGUCCGGAAUCAUUGGGCGUAAAGCGCGCGUAGGCGGCUCGAUCAGUCUGCUGUAAAAGUCAAAGGCUCAACCUUUGAAUGCCGGUGGAUACUGUCGGGCUAGAGUCCGGAAGAGGCGAGUGGAAUUCCUGGUGUAGCGGUGGAAUGCGCAGAUAUCAGGAGGAACACCAACGGCGAAGGCAGCUCGCUGGGACGGUACUGACGCUAAGGCGCGAAAGCGUGGGGAGCGAACGAGG
rnacentral:rRNA from 1 species